rnacentral:lncRNA from 1 species
UAUCCAUAAGCAAAUCAGAAAAAAGCCCAGAAAAAAAAAAUCCAAAAAGAUGAGUGUGGCAUCUUCAAUUCCAUGCAUCAAAAUCCCAACUUCUUCUUCUUCAUCUUCUUCAUCAUCUUCUUCUUAUUGUAGAUUCUCUGCCACCAAGCCUGCUAUAUUCACCAUAAGGAGCUCCCAAACUGAAGGCCCACUCAGGAGACCUGUGGCUCCCCUUAGAGAACCUGCCCCUCCUCCUCUUCCUCCUAAACCCAUCCCCCCUUCUCCCUCUCCUUCUUCUGCUUCUCCUCCUCCAUCACCCCCACCACCACCAUCUGCCUCUGUGGACAAGAAUGUGGUCACUCUGGAGUUUCAGAGGCAAGUAGCUAAGGAGCUUCAGGAUUAUUUCAAGCAGAGGAAG